rnacentral:rRNA from 1 species
AUUGAACGCUGGCGGCAUGCCUAACACAUGCAAGUCGAGCGAGCGGCGGACGGGUGAGUAAUGUAUGGGGACUGCCCGAUCCAGGGGGAUAACUACUGGAAACGGUAGCUAAUACCGCAUACUAUCGGAUAACCCAUAUGGUAUUAGCUAGUAGGUAAGGUAAUGGCUUACCUAGGCUACGAUCCCUAGCUGGUCUGAGAGGAUGAUCAGCCAAACUGGGACUGAGACACGGCCCAGAGUCCUACGGAGGCAGCAGUGGGGAAUAUUGCGCAAUGGGCGCAAGCCUGAUGCAGCCAUGCCGCGUGUAUGAAGAAGGCACUAGGGUUGUAAAGUACUUUCAGUCGGGAGGCGUUACCGACAGAAGAAGCACCGGCUAACUCCGUGCCAGCAGCCGCGGUAAUUC